AGUUAUCUGAACCUUCGGGGAACGAUAACGGCGUCGAGCGGCGGACGGGUGAGUAAUGCCUAGGAAAUUGCCCUGAUGUGGGGGAUAACCAUUGGAAACGAUGGCUAAUACCGCAUGAUGCCUACGGGCCAAAGAGGGGGACCUUCGGGCCUCUCGCGUCAGGAUAUGCCUAGGUGGGAUUAGCUAGUUGGUGAGGUAAGGGCUCACCAAGGCGACGAUCCCUAGCUGGUCUGAGAGGAUGAUCAGCCACACUGGAACUGAGACACGGUCCAGACUCCUACGGGAGGCAGCAGUGGGGAAUAUUGCACAAUGGGCGCAAGCCUGAUGCAGCCAUGCCGCGUGUGUGAAGAAGGCCUUCGGGUUGUAAAGCACUUUCAGUCGUGAGGAAGGUAGUGUAGUUAAUAGCUGCAUUAUUUGACGUUAGCGACAGAAGAAGCACCGGCUAACUCCGUGCCAGCAGCCGCGGUAAUACGGAGGGUGCGAGCGUUAAUCGGAAUUACUGGGCGUAAAGCGCAUGCAGGUGGUUUGUUAAGUCAGAUGUGAAAGCCCGGGGCUCAACCUCGGAAUAGCAUUUGAAACUGGCAGACUAGAGUACUGUAGAGGGGGGUAGAAUU
rnacentral:rRNA from 1 species